rnacentral:rRNA from 1 species
AGAGUUUGAUCAUGGCUCAGAGCNCGCUGGCGGCGUGCCUAACACAUGCAAGUCGAACGUGAACGGGGGCAACCCCUAGUAAAGUGGCGUACGGGUGAGUAACACGUAGGUAAUCUACCCUAGAGUCUGGAAUAACCGGCCGAAAGGCUGGCUAAUACUGGAUAGAGCGACGGAAUCCGUAAUUGGGUUUUUCGGGAAAGGGAGGUCGUAAGACCCUUCGCUCUAGGAUGAGCCUGCGUCCCAUCAGCUAGUUGGCGAGGUAACGGCUCACCAAGGCUAUGACGGGUAGCUGGUCUGAGAGGAUGAUCAGCCACACUGGAACUGAAACACGGUCCAGACUCCUACGGGAGGCAGCAGUGGGGAAUCUUGCGCAAUGGACGAAAGUCUGACGCAGCCACGCCGCGUGAGUGAAGAAGGCCUUCGGGUUGUAAAGCUCUGUCGGAAGGGACGAAAAUGGUCUGGGUUAACAGCCCAGGCAACUGACGGUACCUUCAAAGGAAGCACCGGCUAACUCUGUGCCAGCAGCCGCGGUAAUACAGAGGGUGCAAGCGUUGCUCGGAAUUAUUGGGCGUAAAGGGUAGGUAGGUGGUCUGAUUUGUCUGUUGGUGAAAUCCCGGGGCUUAACUCCGGAAGUGCCACAGAAACGGUCAGACUUUGAGUACUGGAGAGGUGAGCGGAAUUCCCGGUGUAGCGGUGAAAUGCGUAGAGAUCGGGAGGAACACCAGAGGCGAAGGCGGCUCACUGGACAGUUACUGACACUCAACUACGAAAGCGUGGGGAGCAAACAGGAUUAGAUACCCUAGUAGUCC